rnacentral:tmRNA from 1 species
GGGGUAGUAAAGGUUUCGACAGGGUUUCUGAAGCUGGAGAAGCUAUUCGCAGGUGAUGCGUCAAAUCACAAACUUAAAUAUAAACGCUAACGAAGAUUUAGCUUACGCUGCCUAAUGGCAGCAGUCUGACCUAGAGCACCUGCACUUUAGGAUCCAGGCUUCGACUAUGCAGGAAACGACACAGCCAAAGCUUUGAGGCUGCGGGCGUAUUAUGAAGCUACUGAAAACGCGGGGAUGUUGGCUUUCCUGCGUCGGAGGGAAUGAGGGCAACCGAAGCAACCAACUAUAAUAGUAGAAGAACAGUGAAUGGGAUUUUGGACACGGGUUCGACUCCCGUCUACUCCA